GCUCUUGUUUGGUAAACUCUCUAUCCUUUGGUUCUGAAGGACAACUUUGUGAGUGUGGUAUUAUUCCUGGUUGGCAGUUUCUUCUCACCAAUUUGAAAAGACCGUCAAGUUUUUGCUGACUAAUCUGUUGGUAGUCUUACAGGGUUUCCUUUGUAUGUUGCAAGGUUUUCUCUUCCUGCUUUAAGAUUCUUUACUGUGGCCACUUCAGUUACACUGUGUCUGUGUGCAUUUCUUUAGAUUGAUAGUUUCUGGAACUCUUCAGGCUUCCUGACUCUCUGACAGGAUGAAUUCCACUGGCCUGUUUUCCAAGUUUGCUGAUCCUUCUGUUUGAUCUAGUCUGCUGUUGACCCAUCUACCGAAUUUUUCAGCUGUUCCUGUGUUCUUCAGCUGUAGGAUUCGAUACUUCAUUUUCUCGUUGAGAUUUUCGGUUUGUUCGUGUGGCUCUGACCUCCGUGAGCAUCUGUAGAGUUACUUCGCACUCUUAGAGGUUCCUGUGCUCUGUGGCCGGAUUACUGUCAACAGACUGCAUGUGAUCUCAUCUAGACAUACUCCGUUUAUUAUGUAACUUAAACAGCUGCACAGAAUGCUACAAAAGCAGAAGAUUUUAAGUAGUGUGGCAAAGAGCAUACUAAUUGGGGUCCCGAUUGUUCUUCUGCCAAGGAUCCCGAGGUGGCAUCUCAGUUAGCAACAGCAGUGGCUCAGUAAGUAACAAGGGCUGGUGGUCCUUACUCAGAAACUUCAGAUGAUGGAAAAUCCCAGUGCCUGAUCAUGCUAACAGGUAAGCAAACGGACAGUAAAACGAGAUCCUAAGUAACAAACUUAGCUCUGCUGCUUUUGAGAGUUAACUGUUAGAUCUAGAGUGGUGGUGGUGUUCCCCCCCCCCCCUCCCCAGAUCUAGAUCUUCUCUACCUUGGGUUCACAAAGGAGCCAGUGGAACAUGGUCCCUUGGGAAGGUUCAGCAUUGUUUUUACUUUCCCACUUAAGCUUUGUAUUAAUCCCAUAUGUAUAAUUGCUUUUAUUUGCUGACGCUAGUCAGAAAAUUUGUAUACUUUACGCAACUAUAGAGAUGGGGCAGCAUCCUCCUAGAAACACGAUUUCCAUACACAUGUGAAAUCUUGAUCAUGCAUACUGUUGAAAAAUGACACCAUACUGCAGCCAGAGAAGGAAGAGUAUUUAUGUAUGGUAAAAAGGCAAGUGAGUGAAGCUAUACCUUUAUUGCAUUACUCUUAGUACAUCCACAACUGUUUCCACCUAAAUAGAUCUCUAAAAUAAGCAUACACAAGUAUUGACUAUUAUCUACAAAUAUUUAUUGUAACACUUGAAUAGAACUACAGGAAGCCCUUGGCACUGAUAGAAAAUAUUGAUUCACUGUUAGGUUACAAAAAUUUAUACAUAGCAAAAUUUAAUGCUCUUUACAUAAAAAAUAUUAGACUACUUAAACAAAAAACUUUCAAAAAUUCCUGGUAGUAGCUACCAGAAUUAGAAAAGUAAAAUUAGGCUUGAGACACUGCCUGUUCUAGAACACUGGACUCUAACAGCACCUCCACUGCUGGAAAAAAAAUAUUUAAAUCUGUCAUGCAACAGGAAAACAAAACAAGCUAUUCUGGAACAACUGUUCUACACGGAAGAGAGCUUCUCCCAGUUAAAAGAAAAAAAGUCAAGAUCCAAAUAGGCAUUUUUAGGCAUUAACAACAACAACAGAAAGAAUCCAAAUGAAAUACUAUACUUGAUGUUCAAUUUUAAUAGCAUCUUGAUAAAGGUAUGCUUCCUUUCAUUUUAAUACAUUUCUGCACAUGUAUAUGUUUUAAAAUCCAGGAAACAGCCAAACCACAAGUUAAUUCUUAACAUGAAUAUACAUAGUUAACCCUAUAUUAUGCAGCCCCUUUUAAAAAGCACUGAUGCACCCAACAGUUAUAUGUAUCAUUUCAUAAAGAACAACACAAAGUUUACCGUCACUAAUAUCCAGUACCUAUAAUCACUUAAUGUUCUGGAACACAAUGGUUUAGAAGGCAAGUUUCUUUUGAAAAUGGCUUAAACUCAAGCAGGUGUUUUUUUGUUUUUUUUUUUCUUUUUUUAUGUUGAACAUCGAACUUUUAUUAUUCCAGGAAAGAUUUUUAAAAAUGAAAUAAAUACCAACCCUAAUUUAAAUCACUUAAGUAUUCAAGUCUAUAAAAGUAGGAGGAGGUCUGUGGUCUACUUGUAAUUAGGUUUUAGAUAGUUGGUAUGAAACUGUAAACUUGCUAUUCAGACCACAUAGAAAUGGUUGCGAAUGGUGGUCAUUUUAAUAAGGUAACACUUCUUAAUUAAGAAAAACAUUGGUGGAACAAAAGUCUGUGAAGGAUUUGGGGUCUCCUGUUGUAAAAUAAGUUCCUAGAAAUUUAAAACAAAUACUCAUUAAGGCAGAGCUGACAUUUAUUUCCCAGGAAAGAAGAAUGACAACUGGGCCAUUUUAUUUAAAGGAAAUCUAUUAUAAAAUUGAUUCUGGAAAGCUUGUCAAGGAGUCAGAAUCCAGCUUCUUUGGGGGCAGGUGUAGCAGAAUUAUAGUAGCUCCUUUUAGCAUUAUUGAAAAAUAGAUUUCUCAUUGGGUCAGGAGAUUAAUGUAGGCUGGACUCAAGGGGUAGGGAAGGCAGCUAAUUUUUAAAAAGUCAAUUGUUAAGAAUCACAUUAUCUUUGAGCCAAAGUUUAAUAAAUGUCAGCUGUCAGAAAUGGAACCCCCCCCCCCAUUCCAUUUUAUUCCCUAUAGAUGAAGUGACUGGUGGACAGAUGGCAUAUGUGAAUUGAUGGUCACGUUCCUUGAUGCCGGCACAGCCUCGGUCCCUCUCAAGGAACAGGCCAUGUCCCCAUCGCCUGUUUUGGUAGGAUCGCUCUACCGAUAAACCUGAACAUGCCACCAAUUUCAGAAAGAUCAACCAUCCUUUUGUCAAAGUGUUGCCUUUUAAAAUGGCUAACAUGAAACCUCCAACAUCUGCUCUAAAGAAAAAGAUUGACCUGCUGGAAGGUGUUCCUAGAAAUACAUCCCAGCAGCUGGAGCCAGACAGUGAAGUGGAUAGGCUGUUUGGUGGGGUACACAUCUGUACUGCAGAGCAGCUGUCUCGGCAGUGGGCAGAGCUGUCAACGCGUCGGCCGUAACGCUCUGGCAAACAUUUAUGUGUACGAAUUGAGUUGUUCUUUUGACCGAGACUGGAUAUCUUGCAGUUCCUGUUCUUCCUUUGCUUUGACAUCCUGGUAAGCCUGCAUUUUGCUUGCAUCCUUUAAGUAAGCCCAGUUAGAAGACAGUAUCAUGAGGAAGUGGAUCUGGAAAAGAAGGGCGAGCGUGAUGGCUAGUGAGCAUGUCAGAAGGCAAAGCAAGCUGCUAGGCAGUUAGACGGUCUGUGCUGUCAAAGGGGAGAGGGUUAUUCGGAUUAAUACUCAUUCCGCUGUCAGAGCCCUCAGACCUGGAAGCAUGCUCUACUAGUAUGCUUAAGAGUAAGAGGCUGAAGAAAAGUUAGUAUACAAACACAAUGAACUGAAAAAAAAAAAAACGGCCAAAGUUAUUGUUAAGUAAAAGCAAAAAUGAAACAGGAGAGGGUUGUUUUGUCUUGUUUUUUCUUUACCAUUUUGGGAGUAAUUGUAAGUAACGCAGACGUUGGAAACACCUUGUGUGCUUAUCUUAAAAUCAGGGCAGUGCCAAGAUCUUAAUCAAUUCCCCGAAGGCCUAUAAGUGAAUGAUACUUAUUUUGAGUAACUCAUCAACUGCGGAGUUAACGGGAAAAUUACGUGUAUGUCAAGACCAAAAUGCAGACCUCUAGGCCCAGCCCGCCGUCUGCGUGAGCGCGUGCGCAGUAGCGCACCUCUGGUUUUCGUUCUAGGCCUGCCUUAGUGCAGGUCACCCAGGGUACAGAUCCUUCUUCUCCACAGUGGAGGUGGCCAACCCUUCUCGCCCGCUCCUUUUCCUCAUCUGCCCUGCAAAAUCUACAUCUCCGGUUCCUCCGAUUUCCUUUUCAACAUAUUUGAGACUUUCCGAUCCAGGCCCCAUGGCUAUUGCGCUCAGCACCGGACAUGCGGGGUGAGAGCCGGCUACGGGCAAUCAGACACUCCGCACCAAAACGCACCAAGGCGAGGUUGCUGCGGAGAGCUACACGCCCCACGUACAGUCCCACAGAAAAGGACAGGGUGCCCUUGCUUUUUCUUCACAUUGUCCUCUAGCUGGGUGGGCUAACUGGAGGGGCCUGUACUGGGUAGUGAGCCAUGAGAUCAGAAAAAGAGUUGUAGUCAAAUUUACAGUGUGUUUGCCUUUUUUUCCAGAGUCGAAGAAAACGCGUCUCUGCCAUCUCCUCUCCAGCACUGGUACUGGUUAUCAAGCAAGCAACAGUAAUAGACAAGGCCGGUGUUACAAAGUUUUAACACUUCAUUUAGAGAUACUGCUCCAAGUUCAAGAGAAUUAGUUAUUAACGGAUGCUCACCAAGGUCAGUACAUAACUGAAUCCUUUUCACAACGUGGAAAUAGCCAGAUCUCAUCUUUUUGUAAUUCACUCAGGGUAAGUCAUCUUAUUAAUCUACAAUGCAAAAUGAGUGGACUAGAGCUAUUUACAAAUUCCUGUCACCAGACUGCAGCAACCUAGGCUCGGCUUUAGUCAGGGAGAUGUCAGGCUCCCGAGGAGCGCUCCCUACGGCUCCUCGUUGGCCUUAAGCAAUUUAGAAUUUAGUGCAGCAAUCUUCCCGACUCUUAAACUUCAAGACGGCAUAGUUAUAGGUAGUAGCCAUCAUGUAGAUCAGCUGGUGGAAGAGAACAGAACACGACAGUAAGACAACGGCAGUCAGGGCGGCCACCCGCUUGGGACCCACGGCCUGGCUUCUUCCCCAUCUAUCAUCACCCAGAAGGGGGUCCUGCGGGGCACACAGACGUCCUCGUGCUUCACAUGCACACCGCUAGUCCUGGCCUCUGCCCUCAGGCUGUUGAUGCAGAAGCCUGGGAGGUGCUAGAAGAUGAAAAGCGCCAGGGGAAGCUGGGGGGCCCGUGUCCCCUGGUCUUCCCCAGCCGGCCCCUGUGGCAGCUUGGAAUCCACCGCUGGCCCCUCGCUCAGCAAGAGCACAGGUCGCCCCCAGGAUGGGAAAGGCCGUUGUUUGCGGGGGCCAGAAAGUUUCCCUCUGGGUCUACCGAGCCUCGAUUUCUUGAACGCCCACAGCGAGCCCUCCCGACCUCUGGCCGUACACGCAGGAACCGGGGGCCCUUUAUACUUGCUCCUCCUUAGCGGCCGGUUCCCUAUCUGCCCCUUUCCCUCCGUGUGACUGUCCCUGCUCGCGGCAUGGGCCUGGUCCCCGGCGGACACGCAGAGUGGGGCCCGGGGUUAGGCUCCCAGCUGCGGUCAGCCAAGGCCCCAGCGGCUUGUCUCAGACUCUCACCGAGCCGCCCUGCCGCAGGCGAGUCCGUGCUGAGGCAGGGAGGGGGUUUGCAUUCUGUGAUUUUGCUCUUUACAGGUUUCCUGGCCACAGUGCCGAACGAAGGGCUCUCGAAAGUCUCAGAGAGCAAGACGGCUCGGAGGGACCACGGAGCUUCCUUUAGGUAGGAGCUGUAGUGCGGACACCAGGAGCUCAGUGUUAACACCACCAUGGUCUACACUAAAUCAGGUAUCUUGGAGCAGAACCACAUCAAACAAGGUUAUGUGGUGAUACGUUUGAAAAGAGAUGUACCCGGCGGUGGCAGAAAGUGAACCCUGUGUGUCCCCCUCGAAACAGCGGCUCAGUGGCAGAGGAGAUCACCAAAGCAGCUCAACCGUCCCAGGCGGAGGGCUACCUAUAGGCAGUGCCAGCUGGAAACGCAGAUCUCUUGGCAGAGAUGCCUGACCAGUCCAGGCUCUCGGUGCACCCCUGUCCUAGGCCAGGCCUGGGUACUACCCUGUCGUCUUCCAGCAGAAUCCAAGUUCUGCCACCUGCGCUCUAGGUCUACCAGGCAGCACGGUCUGCCUGCGCCCCAGCCCGGGGGGAGAUCUACAUGGGUGACGUGGACCCGGGGCUCCGUCCCGGAGGCGGACCGCAGGAAGGCACAUCUGGCAGGAGAGCCUGGAGGGGGGGAGCGGCACUAGGCGGGCGUGGGGCUGUGGCUACUCACCAGGGCGACGACAGUGGCGCCGGCUCCGGCGCAGGCCACGAUGAACAGGUGGUAGGACAUGUAGAACUAGGAAAGAACAGGGCACCGGGUGAGCACUGUACACGGAAGGGAUGGGCCUCUACCUGGUCCUGCUCCUCUAGGGCUGCUUUCCCCGGGGCCGCUCCCUGGUAGGGGCGAGGGGGCAUGCUAAAGCUUCCUGAGGCCCAGGCUGUACCCACGACUAGUUAAAUCUCAGUGGUGGGCGGUAUAAUUCUCCUCACGACUGCCCUGUGCCACCUCCCUUGGGAGCCCCUGCUUGGAACCAGGCCCUGGUAUGGACAAGCCAACUGGCUGGCGACGGAGCAGGACGGGGCGGGGGUGGGGGGUGGCGCUGAUGAUUUCAGUAACUUGUGGCUUUCCCAAAGCAGGCUCCGAUUCCCCGAAGGAUGCGAGCUCCCCCUGGUGCCCUUGAGAAAACCGCUCUAACCAAUGCCCAAAGCCUGCUCUAAGGCCUGAGUUUAAAGCAAAGUGGGUUAGGGUGUACUGCGAGCUAAGAGUGAGUGAGAAGUAGUGAUGACCAGCUGUGACCAGAUUGAGAGGAAUUGGGCUUCUAUACAAAUUCUAGGGUUUGUUUUUUUUAAAGGGGAUCUUUUCUGUAUGAAAAUUUGCAUCUGUCCCAUGAUGAAUGUCCCACUUUGAAAAACCGUGUGAAGGUGAAAGAGAAGAAUCUACGUGUGUUUUCUGAUGGAGGCGGUUAGGGUCACUCUCAAAUUAGUGCCCGAAGAGAAAGCUCUCGGAGUGCUAAGGGUCCUCCCUGAACCGGCUGGACCAUGCAAAAGGGGCAUUUUCUAGGUCAGAAAUGGGUGAGUAUGGGUGAAGACAGACUGUUGGUUUGAUCUUAAAAAGUCUGCAGAGAGAAGCCUGCCUUCCUCGCAUCUGUAGCACCUGCUGCUCUGUCCCGCCAGGAGGGCCCUUUCCUCAGCCGGCUCUGCCAAGCGGCCAUGUCCAGACCCUGACAGGAGAAGGGUUUACCUCAUUGGUGUUGCAGAUGUUCUCGAGGGCGGAGCCGCAGAUCUUCCCUGGGAAAGCGUUCCAAGGGAUGAUUCCUGUGAGGUAAAGCCCGACAGAAGGUUAGCGGUCGGUUAGUGCCGCCCCACCGCAGUGGCCCUUGCUCUUACUCGUCCCCACCAACAUGACACCUCUGCCGACCAGGCCGCUGAGAAUCAGUAAGAAGUCCUCCUUAGCAGGACAAGAGCCAAGUCAACUGGUCCUUAAGUGCUUUAAGCUGCUUUGUUCUCCCUGCCAAUUGUGCGUGCUUGAGUUGACCUCAUAUUGUAAAAAUUGAUUUUCCAACCGGUUAAACAGCUGGAGGACAGCCACCUUCAUAUAGGAUUUCCCAGUCCAUGGACUUCCUACUGAAGUCCCCAAAUUGAGGGUCUACACUCAAAGUUUAUGGAAUUUGGAUUCUGUAGGUCUUUUAUAUUCAUUUUCACUGGGAUUGGAAAUCCAAUUGGAAAUUUAACAAAAUGGAAGCAUGGUGGAGUCCAGUCCCCUGUCCCACCUCUCUGCUGUGCCAUGGCCCACCGGGUUGCUGGUCUCUGUGCUGUGUGCUAGCUCCAGUUACUCUUCUCCCAGGAGGUGAGGAAGGCUUUCUUUAAAAAGUCCCUUAGCCCUUCCAUCCCUGCCAUGGGCCCAGAGACGCUGGAGGAGAACGGGCCAUGACAAGUCCCCACGCUGUCCGUGAAACCAGUGAUUUCCCAUACAGAAGACUUACAAAUAGGAUCGCUAAUGGCCAGAAGUUUUGAGUCAAAUAUUUAAGACUAAGGAAAUGAUAUGCAUCUAAACAUUCACAAACACUUUUUAAAGAAUCAUCUUUAGGCUCUGUUUUCAAACCAUCAGGAAGACCAGUGCGGCUGAACCUUGGUGUUUAUGAGAAAACUACUCCAGUGGGCAGUCCUGGGCAAGUUUCUCAUUAUGUUGUAAGAAAAGACGUUGAAGCCAAGCCCCAUGGGAAAAACAAGAAGCACAAAUGAAACCGUCCUCUCUCCUGAGAAAUCUUGUCUUUAAUUUUAAUGAAAAGUACCCACCCCCCCACCCCCCCACCGCCUUGCUGUUUCUGCCAGGAACAGGGUUCCUCAGCAUCUUGGCAAGAAGCACUCAUUAAAGUCCUGACUUGGGAGGCUGCCUCUCAAUUUAAUUGACAGGAAGAGCAAUGGCCCUUCUGCGGCUUGUCAAAAUGAACCAACCUUAGCUGCCCAUUGCAAGUAUCCCAUUCAUUAGAAAAUGGGUUUGAAGGGGUUUCCAACAAGUCAGAUUUUAUUGAGUUCAGUCUGAUGACUUUAAAAUGUCUGGAUUUUGUUGCAUUUUCCAGGAGAGCUGAAGUUUAAGCAGUUGGUCAUUUUAAAAGCCCGGAUUGAAGAGUGGGACAUGGAAAUUAAUUGGACUACAGGGCAUACCCAAUAUUUUGGAUAAAGACUUGAAUGGUACAAAACUGAAAAGAAAUUGAAAAAAAAGUCUGUAAUCUUUUGAUGUCCAGAAGAUGGAUUAUAAUGCACUGCUACUUGGUAACCCAGUUUGAAAAGUUUCCUUUGUUCCAUACUUGAAAAUACAACAAAAAUCUGUAUUACAA